CGUUGACAGUUGGCGACGUAAAAUAUGAUUUUGGCUAUCAGGAUAUUUGCCCUUGUUUGGGGGUUAAGCUAGGGUUUGUUUAAAAGAAGCAGCAUUCUAGCCUAAACCUCACACACGACGCGCGUUUAAUAGUUCGAGGCUUUGUAAAGCGAGUGUGGCAGUUUGGAUAUUAUCAUGAAAAAUGGAGAAAUGGGUUGCGAGCAUGAAAUCGUCACUAGUUUAUUGGGUUCACGGAAAACUGCAUGAAAAAUAAGUUGGAUUUCCAAAAUAGGUCGAUUCAGGAAGAUAGAUCAAUGUCGCAGCUAUAACAUUUUUCUAAUUAACAAUUAUAGUUAUUAUGUGGUUUCAAACACCACUCAGCAAUUGUUUGUUAGACAAUUUAUGCAAUGCUUAUCUGCAUACCUUUUAAGAUAACACAGUAUAAGUAAUAGACGACAAUAACCACAAUAAAUACAAAAAAGCUUAGAUAUAAUAGCAAAAAGCCAUAAUGCCAUUUGGUAAAGAUUUGUAUUUUUAUGACUAAUUGAGAGAAUUAGGUGCGGAAAAUAGUUGAAAAUUAAUGUCAAGGGUGGGGUAUGGAAGAUGAAGGGCAUAACAUUAGAGCAGAUUAUACUAUGGUUAUACGUUUAAACGCCGUUUUGUUUAUCUACUUGCAACGUGUUUUAUUCAAUCAAGAGGAAAACACGAAGCAUCGGGUCAAUCUCGUAUAAUUCAACAACAAAUCUUAGCAGUCAAUUUUAUCAUUAUUACUUGACUUGUACGAGGCGAUAAAAUAAAAUAAUUACAUACAUAUUCGGAUUUGUCCAUUUGUAUGACUGUAGUUGUCCAUUGGCAUGUUGGAUUUUUAUUGGUAUGCUUUAAUGACAUCCGAAUUAUGAGCUAUUUUUCCAAACAAUACCUUUCGAGAAGUGCUAAUAAAAGUUUUUAGCUAGG